rnacentral:rRNA from 1 species
UACGAAGGGGACUAGCGUUGUUCGGAUUUACUGGGCGUAAAGCGCGCGUAGGCGGAUCGCUAAGUCAGGGGUGAAAUCCCAGGGCUCAACCCUGGAACUGCCUUUGAUACUGACGAUCUGGAGAUCGGGAGAGGUUGGUGGAAUUCCGAGUGUAGAGGUGAAAUUCGUAGAUAUUCGGAGGAACACCAGAAGCGAAGGCGGCCAACUGGCCCGAUACUGACGCUGAGGCACGAAAGCGUGGGGAGCAAACAGGA